UUUUUCCUCCUGCUUUGUCUGUCUUCUUUCCCAUUCUCUUAGGUGAACGGGGCCUGAGCGAUGGAGCCAGAACCUUUCAUCUCGCCCAAUUACAACUGAAAACGCUGCAUCGACCGGCAGCGUCUCCAUGGAAGCGUGGCGCCCAGCCUCCAGUUCCAGGCUGUGCUGACAGGGGAAACCGUGAAAGAAGUCACUGCUGACUCCACCGCUGCCUGCCAAGUCUGCAAUGACACGGUAAUACGGAAACAAAGCCAAUUCCUGACAAAUGACUACUCGAUUAACUGCAAUGGCCUCGCGAAUAGACGCAAAUGAAUCCAUCUCACUGACAACAACAAAAAAUGUAUGAAAACAGCAAAGCAGUUUUCCGUAGCUUAAGAUUUUACAGUUGAUUUAUCUUCUGGUUGAUGGGUACACAGCCCCGGGAUGUCUUUGUGUCAAUCAAAGACUUCAAAUCCCAAGAUUUAUUCAGUCCCCCUCCUAUUUGUACAGUAACCAAUGGUGAUAGU